rnacentral:rRNA from 1 species
GACGGAGGAUGCAAGCGUUAUCCGGAAUGAUUGGGCGUAAAGCGUCCGCAGGUGGCAGUUCAAGUCUGCUGUCAAAGACCGGGGCUUAACUUCGGAAAGGCAGUGGAAACUGAACAGCUGGAGUACGGUAGGGGCAGGGGGAAUUUCCGGUGGAGCGGUGAAAUGCGUAGAGAUCGGAAAGAACACCAACGGCGAAAGCACUCUGCUGGGCCGACACUGACACUGAGAGACGAAAGCUAGGGGAGCGAAUGGG